rnacentral:misc_RNA from 1 species
UUGAAAAAUAAAAAAAAGGGGGCUGUUGCUGGUCCUCCAAGGGGGACAACUCGUGCACGCCCUUUUUUUUGUUCUCCUCACACCCCUGUGCACCUUUGGUAGGCUGAGCAAUUGGCCUACGUCUUUUUCCAUUCACACUUUAUUAUUUUUUUUGAAUGUAUAUUGCUUGAAAUAAAGCAAAAAUCAUUGUA